GUGCUCCCUUGAGCAGCACAUAUACUAAAAUUGGAACAAUACAGAGGAGAUUAGCAUGGC
ensembl:snRNA U6 U6 spliceosomal RNA